AAAAAAGAAGAGCUCAGAGGUGUGGCAUACAUCAACUGAUAGUUCAGAAGAAUGCAAUGGACCCAACCAAUGCUGAAGCCUAUAUCAUCAUAGCUCAAUGCACCAGCCGGGAAUCGAACC
rnacentral:sRNA from 1 species